UACGUAGGGGGCGAGCGUUAUCCGGAUUUACUGGGCGUAAAGGGAGCGCAGGCGGCGCGCCAAGUCUGAUGUGAAACCCCGGGGCUCAACCCCGGGCAUGCAUUGGAAACUGGCGGGCUGGAGUGCCGGAGAGGUAAGCGGAAUUCCUAGUGUAGCGGUGAAAUGCGUAGAUAUUAGGAGGAACACCAGUGGCGAAGGCGGCCUACUGGACGGUGACUGACGCUGAGGCUCGAAAGCGUGGGGAGCAAACAGG
rnacentral:rRNA from 1 species